GAUGAACGCUGGCGGCGUGCCUAAUACAUGCAAGUCGAGCGAACGGACGAGAAGCUUGCUUCUCUGAUGUUAGCGGCGGACGGGUGAGUAACACGUGGAUAACCUACCUAUAAGACUGGGAUAACUUCGGGAAACCGGAGCUAAUACCGGAUAAUAUUUUGAACCGCAUGGUUCAAAAGUGAAUGACGGUCUUGCUGUCACUUAUAGAUGGAUCCGCGCUGCAUUAGCUAGUUGGUAAGGUAACGGCUUACCAAGGCAACGAUGCAUAGCCGACCUGGGAGGGUGAUCGGCCACACUGGAACUGAGACACGGUCCAGACUCCUACGGGAGGCAGCAGUAGGGAAUCUUCCGCAAUGGGCGAAAGCCUGACGGAGCAACGCCGCGUGAGUGAUGAAGGUCUUCGGAUCGUAAAACUCUGUUAUUAGGGAAGAACAUAUGUGUAAGUAACUGUGCACAUCUUGACGGUACCUAAUCAGAAAGCCACGGCUAACUACGUG
rnacentral:rRNA from 1 species